AGUGGAGACCCAUGCAAGAUUUGGAUUUCAGCACUGGACAGCUCCCAAGAUAUAUCAAUUAAGAGUUCAACUCAAGUAAAGAGGCUUUUAUUGUCAUUACAUCUGCUGAGUACAGGUACACAGGGUAACGAAAUUACGAAUUGCAAACUUGUAAUGAUAAAACUAUAACACUACAAUAAAUACAGUAAAUGCAACAGACAAUACAGUUUAAAAGACAGGACAGAGCAGUACCGAUUCGGUAUAAUAAUGUGCAUUGGGAGGAUAAGGUGCAUAUAUAUGUAACAUACUGUAACAUAUAGAACAUACAUGAUUACAACAGUUACUGAAAGUUUAUAGUUCUAUAGAAUAAAGCAGCAAAUAUUGCUGAUAGCCAUAGAGACAUUUUAAUCUGUGUGUGUGUAAGUAAAGUGAUGGGUGGGUUCAGUACAGUCUCUGCGUGUUGAGGAGUCUGACUGCCUGGUGGAAGAAGCUGUUGCAGAGUCUGCAUGACUCCUGUAUCUUCUGUCGAACCCGACCUGACCUGGGGCCUGACCCAACAAAAGUAGUCUGUGACGUAGACGUGUCAGGAAUGGGUGCAGGCAGGAAGACAUGCAGGCGGACACAAAUGCAGGAUUGACGCAGGAGCAGAGAGAGGAUGCAGAGAGCAGACGAAAAUAACUGUAUAUUUUACUACCAGCAGAAGAAGAAGAGUACCCAGACCUGUGGGGCAGGGCUGGACUGGGUGUGGGUGGGGAAGCAGCAGUGCUACAUCGUGAAUCAUAGUUUUUCAUUACGAGCUGUGAUCUCUCCGAGGAUACACACCUGCCUCCAACACACAUGCAUGCACACAGCUGUGUUACCAUGGAGACGCAGCCAACCAAUGACAGGCGCUGAUUUUCCCUCCAGGGACUCUGCUGACCUAAAAGGGAACGGGGUGCAUUUAUUUUCUGGUAAAGCCAUCUUUAGUGACUCUGAAGUGUAAAUUAUACCAAUCCUGCCUCAGCACGGCUAAUUUUAGCCUGAAAGUACAGAGAGAGACUCACACACACAGAAAUAUGUGUGAGAUUAUGUACUGUAUGUAUUAUGUAUUUUAAUUAGAAGAACAGUAAAAAAUACCAGUACUGUUAUUAAGAUAAUAUAAUAUAAUUAUUUGCUGUAAAUGUAAUUACGUGUGUGUGUGUGUGUGUUUCUUCCCAUAUUCUCAGUAGUGGGUGGAGUUUAUGCUAUGUGCAGCUGAAUCUGUUGCUAGGCAAGAACAGUAAGGGCUGUCACCUCUCAGCCAAUCAGGUGUUGCUGCACAGCUCCUGUUCCGAUUAACCAAUAAAGUGUUCAAUUCAUUCUUUAGUUCUUCUACA
rnacentral:lncRNA from 1 species